rnacentral:piRNA from 1 species
UGGAUGAACCAGUGGGGUGAUAGUCAGGGG